rnacentral:lncRNA from 1 species
GAAUUUAAGCUCACACCGACCUCUUGUCUAUUGAAGACAAGAAAAUGGUUUGGGGUAUGUCCAUUUUUACCUUUACAUGUGGCUCUAGGCCAUCCAUAAUUUCAUAAUCUUAUUUGCCAUCUAUGCCUUAGGGGUUGAACAUUACAAGAUUUGGAACCACAGUUUGCCAAAUUCUUGCUCGUCUCCCACAACGUGCCAUUUUCCUAACUCUCAACUACUAGUCUAUGUACUAUACUUUUGCCUUCUACAUUCUUCUACCAUGUGUUUAUAAACAAGUGCAGCCCCAAACAUUGAUCUACUCAACACUUGGCGCACCACAAUGGCUCACCACUGGCAUCCCCCACCUCCACCAGACCCCUUUGCACCCCCACCACCUGGACCUCCGGCAACACCUCCACCAGACCCCUUUGCUCCACCACCGCCAGGGCAUCCGGCACCACCUCCGCCAGACCCCUUCGCACCACCUAUGUUUGGGCAGCCUCCACCGCCUAACACUUCUGCACCAGCACCACCUAUUCCGCACAAUCCGCCACCACCUCCUCCAGGUCCAGGAGGACCUCCUCCACCACCCCCAUAUUAGCCUAUAGCAUAAAAUUUUGAUUAGAUUCUCAUAGGAUUGUAACAAUAAAUAAGAGAGUAUAUAUUGUUAUGUUGAAUGUUGGAAGUGCAUGAGAGUGAAAUAAUAAACUUUAUGUUACAAUAAAUGAGUCGGUGGUUGUUCACACCCAAAUUCAAAAUAUAAGAAAUAAAUUUUGUAUUUGAUUUAUGUCAUGUGUUGUUUGGAACGUAACCAACCCUGAUGCAAGUCAGUUUUUAUUUCAUUCCCUUCACUUGUGUAACCUAUCAAAUAUCAAGAAAUUAUUAAAAUAUUUCUUUUGCCUAAUAAAUUAUAUUGUUAUGGGAUAUAUUCAUCUUUUACAUAAUCCUAAUAAAUUUUACUAUUUCAACAGCAAUUUCAGUUAUUUUUUGUAUGAAUUUUUAAAUAUAUUUUUAACAUAAUUUAUGUAAUAAAUCAGAAGUAAAUAAACAAUAAAUAUAAAAUCAAAAUUAAAAGUCAAAAAACAGUCCCUUUACACUGGGCUCAAUAUGGCCCAAACUAAACACAACCCCUACCCAAAAUCAAAUUACCCAAUACACCCCAGUCCAACUACCCAAAACCCACUAAAAUCCAAACCAGCGUCGUUGUUUUAAGGGUUUUAUGCGUGAUAUAAAAACGGCGUCGUUUAGCGGCCUUUUGACCCGCGUGGUGACCCGACCCGAGGGAAGGAUCCGCGCAUUUCAUCUCAAUGGUCUAUUUUCACAAUGAGCCCCUCUGCGUUUUGUGUUGUUUUAAAUUUGAUUUUCAUUAAUUUUUUAAUUUGUAUUGCACAUUUGGUCUCGAUUUCAAAUGGAUCUGCGUUCAAACGGUGCCGUUUCCUAUGUUUGAUUUUGAAUAUCAGGAUUUUUGUGUUUAAUUGCUGCAUUAGUCCCUUCAAUUUCAAAAAACUUCAAAUCGGUUCUCUUUUAUUUUAUUUUAUUUAUUUUCAAAUUUUGCCUCAAACACUUGCUUUAAUCCUUUUUGUAUACUUGUUUUUUUUAAAAAAAAAAAGAAAGAAGAUUAACGAAUUUGACGUCAAUGUUAUUAUUAUUAUUAUUAUUAGUUUUAUUUCCCCUUUUUAUUUAUUCGUUAAUAUAUUGAAUAGUUUUGCUCUUUAGGUUUAUUUUUUUAUUCUAUAUAUAUAUAUAUAUGCAUUAUGCUUGUACAUACAUUUUUAUACUUUAUUUAUGCAUGCAUACAAACGCAUUUUUAUUUUAUAAUAUAUGCCUAUAUAUAUCUAUAUACCUUUUAUUAUUUUCCUAUAUAUAUACAUACACACAUGUAUCUUUUAUAUUUAUAAUUUCUAAAAUAUGUAUAUAUGCGUAUAUACUUUUUUUUGUAUUUUCAUAUAAAGAUAUUUUAUAGAAUAUUAUUUUUUAUAUAUACAAUUUAUAUAUAAUUUAUUCUAUAGGUAAAUUUUUGUAUGUAUUAUUUAUUUUAAAGGUUUCGUAUGGUUACUUUAUUGAUUUAUAUGUUACCUUCUGCCAUGCCAUUUUUUUAGUCAUUUCAAAACAUAUACGUUGGAUUUGCUUGCUUUUAGGUUUUACUAGCUUUUAGAUAUCAACGUUAAUAGUUGCAUAAUGUAUAAUAUAAGAUGGUUGCUUUUAUGUGCGUUGUAUUGUUUAUUUGUAUCAUAUAGAUUCUUUGUUGCUCAUUAGCUUAUAUUAGGCUUACGAAUUUUUCUUUCGCGAUAUACAUUGUCGUCCCAUCUCGUUUUAUUCGUCAAAAAGUUUAUAUUCGAUUUAAAUAUUAAAGUUGUUUUACUCAAAAAUUUUCAAAAUAACGCGAUACUCGGAAUUUGGGGAUCCUCUAAAAGAUUGUGUCCUAACUUACUAGAUUCCAAUCUUCCUCGGGAUCUAGGAGACCGAAUAUUCCUUUUAAUAAACAUACAAAUUUCAAAAAAAAACUCAUUCUCGGGAAUUCGACACGUUGUGUCCUAACACAUUGGAUAUGACAUGUUAUUUUCUCGAGACGAGGAUUUUAAAAAUAAAGGCAAUGUUCGAUAGUUAGGAAUUUUGUGAAAUCGAACCCUAACUUACUGGGUUUUGAUUUUCUCAUUUGACCCAGAUAAUCGAAUAUCUUUCUCAAAAUGCAUAGGUUUUAAAAGACGAGAGAUAAAUUUAAUUUUGAGGAUUUAAAAUUUCGCACUCUAACUUACUGAAUGUGACAAUUUAUUUCUUCGAAAUAAGUGACCCUUACCAUCCAAUUCAUUUUACUUAAAUUUUCUUUUCAAAUGACCGUAUUCUAAAAUCUUUUCAAAAUUUCGACAUUAAGACAUUAAACAAUCAAUUCGGUACCAAUUUUGGGCGUCACGAGGGUGCUAACCCUUCCUCGUGCGUAACCGAGUCCCGAACCUGUUUUCUCAAAAUUCGCAGACCUAAAAUUAUUUUCAAGAUGAUCCGAUCACACCACAAUAAAAGAUCGGUGGCGACUCCAUUUCCAUUUUCAAAAUCGAUACCCAUUUUUCAAAUUUCAAAAAAGAGGUUUCAACAAUUUCUUUUUCACAUAAGUGAAAAUAAUAUAAUGUUUUUAUGGAUUUCCACGAAAAAGAAAAUCCUUCAGAAAAUUAAAACAAAGUUUGUGUUCACCUACAAAUUUGUUUUUCUUGAAAUAUCCUUUAGUAAGAAUUUUCCGAAAUAAUUAUUUAAUAUUUUCCAAUUUCCUAUUUGGGGCCUAAUAUUGCUUUGCAAAACCCAUUGAAAAAAAAUGAUACAACAACCUUUUUGUCCUCUUAACUUCAUUAAAAAAGAAAAAAAACUCAUUUUAACUUUACUUUUAGCUCAUGAACUUGCAUCUUUUGUCAAAUCACCUCAAAAUGUAUAGAAAAGUUAACAUUUGUUAUUAACUCUAUUGACGUGGGCAUACACAUGAAUUACCAUGAGGAUGACAUGUCAACAUUUAAUUAAUUUUUAAAAUUUUAAAAAUACUAAAAUAUAUUUUUAUAACUUUUAUAUGAUUUUAAUCAUUGCAAUGAUUUUUAAUUUUUAAAAAUAACUUUUUGAAAAUUUUAAAUUUUAAAAAAUUAAUUAAAUGCUAAUGUGUCAUCCACAUAGUAAUUCACUUGUAUGCCAUGUCAGAAAAGUUAAAAAAAUGUCAACUUUUCAUCAAUUUUGGGUUGAUUUGAUAAAAAAAAAUACAAGUUUAAGGGCUUCAAAAGAUUAAAAUUUAAAUGAAUGGCUAAAAUAUUUUUUUUUAUAAAACAGGAGGGAAAAAUAAGUAUUUAUGCCAAAAAAAUUCCUUUUAACAAAAAAAAAGGAAAAUUGUUCUUUUUUCUUUCCAACAAGGAAACAAAAACAUAAAAGAUAGUGCACCUACAAUGUGAGUGAAAAUUUUAUAUGAUAAAAUUUCUAAAAAAUGAUAUAAUUAUUAAAUAUAUUUUUUGUUGAAAUAAUAAAGUUUAGUUAUUAAAUUUUAUAAGAUUUUGGGUUCGAAUAUUAUUAUAUGCAAAUAUUUUUUAAAAUUUUAUAUAAAAAGAAAAAUUAGCCCUCAAAAUAAUAAGUAUUGCUUUGUAAAAAUAAGAGACUUUUCAUAAAUUUACCACUGGGUUAGGUCCUGAUUGAAGAGUAAUACCAACUUAGUAAGAAUCUUAAAUAUUAGUACAGGCAAAUUAAUUUUUGAAUCAAUUAAAAAAUAUCACAUGUCAAGUCGAAAUUACCGUAAGUUUAAAAUAAUGACAUCAUAUACUAAUGUUAUAAUUAUUUUUCUCUACUUAAUUUAGAUCAAUUAAAAGAUACAUAAUAAAAAUUUAUAUUAUCACUAAUUAAACUAAAAUGAUUAAGUGAUAAUAUUAUAUUAUUAUUUUAGAGUAGAUAAAAUAGAUUAAUCUUUGUAAAUCACUCAAUUGAAAAGUUAACAUUUAACAAGUACUUUCUUUUUUUUGACAAAAAAAAAAAAACAAGUACUUUCUUUUACUCGAGUAAUUGGCGCUAUAAAAAGGGCCACCUCCAAUCCAUUGAACACAUAUUCAUAAGUUCAAAAGUCCAAAAGUCCUCUUAAGAAGUCUUUGAAGAAAUUGAAAAGCUUGAAGAAAUUUUGACGAGCACCAUAUCAGUUAUAAAGGAAAAUCGUUGUAACACCCCGUUAUCUGACCCAACUGUCGGGUCCGAGUUACAAAGUGCUACAUUUGUUGCCGGAGCAACUAUAAUUAUAUUCAAUCACAGUCCGUUAAACAUUCAAAUAUAGCUAGAACAUGAGUAUCAAACGAUACAUAAUCGUUACCGGGUCUUAUACGAACUUAUGAAAGCUUUUCUAAUCACCUAAUGUCGAAAUAGGGACAAACUGUAAAAAAAUUAAGAUUUUCAGUUGAUGUUGCAACGCUGAAGGUUUCUCAUCACGGUGCAACUCUCUAUUUGAUGCUCGUUAUGACCUUGAAUCAUGACGUUGCCACAUGGCUUUGUGGUCGCAACGUCAGAGGUUUGUCGUCAUGACGUGACUCACUAUUUUCACAAUAGCCAACUUGGUACGAGUUUAGGAAACCUAAAAUUAUAUUUAAAAACUUUCCAUUCUACUAUACCAUGUUUGGGAAUGUGUCCAUAUUGUAGUAAACAUGUAAUAGUUUUCUAUGUAUUUGAACAAUGAAUAAAUAAAUAAAGUUAAUUUUAUAUUUCAUUGUUAUAUAUUUUGUGUUUCUGUCUUUCAUGUUUUGCAUACAUAGAAAAAUUAUGAAUAGUAAAUAUUAGCUCAUUGAUUGUCUAAGUUCAAAUUGAUGAUAAGUGGAAUUGUAAGAAUAUUUAAAUUAUAAGAAAUACAGCUUACUUCAGUAGAUAAUCUAAAAGAGUCCGUAAUGCCGUAAAAGAAUCAAAGUGAGUGUAACAGCCUGUUUUCAAUGAAAUCAGAACAGUAGUUUUGGGACCACAAAUCCGAUGUAGAAAAUUUUAUUUUAAUAUUAAUAUGUGUCUACAGCGUGAUAGUAUUAUGGUAUAAAAAUUUCGUUAAAAAAUUUUACCGUUUGUAUGCUCAAUUUGUGAAAAAAGACUAAAUCGCGUAAAGUGUGAAAGUUGUAUUCUAUUAGCUAAAGGUGUUAAAUAGCUAUAGAACUUUAAAUUGGAUGUCCUUAUAUGGUAAUUAAACCAUUAAUUGAGUUAGUGGAUGUGCAUAGCUUGGCAAUUAUGAAAUUUUUAAAGUUAAGUAAGGGUAAUUUGGUAAAAAGCCAAUUAAUGAUAAAAUAAAAUAGAGUAAAAGUGUUAUCAUCUUUAAUUCAUCUUCUUCCAACCGAUUUUACCAAGUAAAGAAGCCAUUUUUUUCCUUGAAGCUAGGUUCGGCCAAGAACUUCAUCCAUGUGAGUGAUUUUUUAUUCUGUUUUUGUUAAUUUCUAUGUUUCUAGGAUCGUUGUAGCUUAACCUAGCUAGCCCGAGGAUUAAUUUGAAAAAAUAUUGAAUAGUUUUAGAUUUUCCAUUGAUGAAUCUUUUAAGUUUUUGAAUUUUAAUGGAAGAAAAUGAAUCUUUGUUGUUAAUUAAACAACUUUUGUUAAGUAAAUUUUGAUAAAAUUGUCAAUUAGGGGUUAAAUUGAGAAAUGUGAAAAUUAUGUGAAAUUGUGAAAUGUAUGGGCUGCUAUAAACAUAUAUAAAAUUUGGUUAGGCUUGGUUAGGGGAUAAAUUGUAUGAAUUUCAUUUUACGAGCCUAGGGACUAAAUUGUAAAGAAGUCAAAAGUAUAGGGGCAAAAUAGUAAUUUUUCUAUAAUAUGAAUUUUGGGUUGAAUUGAAUAGAAUGAUGCCUAAAUGAGUUAAAUUUGAUUAUAUAGAUCGAGAAAAGCAACGUACGGAAUUAGAUCAAGGGAAAUAUAAAGUUUUGGAUUGAACGAUCAUUUUUCUUCGUACGUGUUCAAGGUAAGUUCGUGUAAUUAAAUUCCGUAUUUAUAUGCUUUAAUUGAAAUAUAUGUAUGUGAAUGGUUUAAUUAUUAUGUAUAAUUAUCGAGUGUAUACUCGAUGACAUACGAGAAAUACCGAGCCCCGUUUGAACUUUAGGAAUUCGUAGGAUACAAAUGACAUGUCAUUAAGGUUACCAAGUUGGUUGUGGUCCUGCAUGUGUUGCGAACACACUAAAGCUCGUAUGAGCUUAAUGAUUUCAGCUCGUGAUAGAUUACCUAUUCACAAUUUGUAUGAGCUUACCAUUAUUUAACUCGGAGGAGCUUACCGUUUAUCGUUCGUAUGAGCAUACAUGUACAAGAAUUGACGAAUUUACAGUUUAGUAUACCUCGUGUGUAUUACCUGUGUAUCUAAUGAUAUUCCAAGUGGUUCAACGGGCAUAGUGUUAUUAUGAGAUCAUAUAAGUUCGAUACGAACAAUUACAAGUAUUUACAUGGAAAUGAUAUAUGUAUGUUAUACGAAUACACGGUAUAGAUGGUACAUGUACAUGGAAUUUAAUAAUUGUUGAAUUCAUACAUGUUUCUCAGUUUUAUAUGAAUACAUGGCUAACUUGGUUAAUGGUUAUGUGAUAGGCUUUGGCCAAAUAGAAUUGUGUUAUGCUUUGAGUUACUUACCUAAAUUUGUGGUUAAAUGGUAAGUUUAAUUUUGUAUUAUACAAACUUACUAAGUUUAAUUGCUUACUCUGUUUAUUUUUCCGUGUUUUAUAGUGAUUCAUAAGCUCGUUCGGAUUGGAAGUUGUCGGAGACAACAUCACACUAUCAAACGAUAUUUUGGUACUUUUGACUUUAUAUUUUGGGUUAAAUGACAUGUAUAGGUCAUUUUGGCUAAUGAUAGCCUAUAUGUUUUGUUGUGUUUUAGCCAUUUGUGUUGGCUUAUUUUGUGAACAUAUUUUGUUAUGUAAAUAUGUAAAUAGCUUUAUUGUAUAUGAUGUAUGGUUGCCAUGUGAAUGCCUUGGUUGUGAAUUAGUAUUUUGGAUACCAAAUGAUUGAGAUUGAUAAGCGUUAUAUAUGUUAUGUUUUAGGCACAAUGAUGCAUAUAUAUGUUGGACCAUUUAGGUACACUUUGGAGGCAUAAUUGACAAAUUUUAAAUUGGUUAUUUGAAGUGUCUACUGGUAUCAUAUGUGUAUGUGAUGUUUUAACAAGUUAUAAGCUUGAUAUUAGUUGGUUUUGAAUGUCUAAUUAUGCCAUGGUUAUAUGCAAAUUUUGGUGUUUAAGUUGGUACAAAUUUGGGUGAGAAAUAUGGCUUGGAAAAUGGCCUAUUUUUGCCCACACGGGCAGAGACACGGGCGUGUGUCUCAGCCGUGUGUGACACACGGCCAGGUGACACGUCCAUGUGUCCCCUGUAACUUCUAUAGAAAACAAGUCAGUAGCUUCACACGGCCUAGCACACGGCUUGGCACACGGGAGUGUAAGGCCAUUUCGAAGGGUAUAUGCCUGGCACACGGGCGUGUGGUCUGGCCGUGUGACCCAAGUCGGUGAGUUACACGGGCUAGGACACUGGAAAGAACAUAAGCGUGUGGUCCUAUUUCAAAUGUCCAUACAGUCUAGCCACACGGGCAUGUGUCCCCUGCACUUUAAAAAUUUUACAUGUUUUUCUGAAAAAUUUCUUGAGUACUCAGUUUAGUUCCGAACUAUUUUUAAUUUCUAUUUGGGGCCUUGACCAUACGUAUAAAACUCGUGUGCUUUGAUAUAAGUUGAGGCUUAUUCUUUAAAGAUGAUCGAGCACUUAAUCAAUAUGUUAGGUACAUGACUUGUGUAUGUCAUGGAUUUACUGGGAACAAAUUCAUAGCUCGAUUAAAGAGUUAACGGUAUCCUCUCAUUGGCAUUGUGUGGAUUGAUAAAUAUGGAACGUGGCCACGGGUUGCUUGUUCUUAAACGAACAAUUUAUCACAGUUAUUUGUUGACAGUGAUUAUAUUAAUCAUUAUGAAGACACAAUGGUGACAAUGAGAUAAAAUAGAAUUGUAUUGAGUGAACGGAUUGCACUCAAAGAAAUCAAGGAUAUUAUAUGAGGGUAACACACUCAUGACGAGGUCAUUAGACAAAACAAUUGGAUGGAUUGUUUUUAUAAAGAGUAUACAAUAAGGAGUUUUUAAUCUUGGAACUUCUUGUGAACUGGCUUCAUGAUUAAGUAAAUUGCGAAUUAUCGAACGAUACUUCUAGACAUAAUUGUAAUUACUAGAGCUUAAUUGUACAUGUCCGAUUGGUCCUUCCGCUGCUCAAUAAAAACCAGAUCGGACUACAUUUGAAUCAGAAGAAAAUUCUAUGACUUUGAAAAAAAUUUAAUUGAGUUGAUGCCAUGGAGUAUUUCAUCCACCGUUUCUGACACCACUAAAAAACGGGAUAUUACAUUUACUAUCCCAGCGGACUAUCUCUAUUUUGUGUUUAGUGUCCCAACGGACUAUCUCAUCUGUUUUUACUAUCCCAAUAGACUGUCUUUGUUUUGUGGAUGCCAUGGAGUCUUUCACCCGUGGUCUUGCUCAUUAUACUUGGAUGUCAUAACAUCUUUCAUCUAUGGUCUUACAUCGUAUACCUUAUACCUUGUACCGUGCUGUCAUGACAUCUUCCAUCCAUGGUCUUACGUUACAUACCUCAAACUAGACUGUCAUAAUAUAUUUCAUCUAUGGUCUUGCGCCAUAUAUCAUCGUCAUUGUAUCGCCCCGAAGGACCAGUCAAUACUGCCGUCGCGGUAAACAUCUCUCUAUGGUUUUUAUUUCCCAAAUUCUCCUCCCAUUACCUCCUUUACACCGCCUAACAUUGAUGCUCGAACACCGCAGUGUUCCCUUCGCAAUGCCCGGAAUUUCGCCCAUUGAGGUAUCUAAAAGGUUCACUCCUCAUUUCCCAUCCUAAUUUCACCUAUCCCAUUGAGGUUUUUCCCAUACUUAUGCAAUGAAUGCACAUAUCUCAUAUUUCAUGUUGAUUUCACUUCCCGGGGCUUCGAGAAUUACCUACACAUGUGCACGGAACAAACAACCGUACGUUUAGUGAUAAAGCUUGGUGGUACUUUCAUGAUUCAAGGUAAUAUAACAUAAAGUAACAUUUAUAACAUCCUAUGAUAUUUAUAAUCUCAAUGCCUACUAAUACAUAUUCUAUAUUGUAACAUAAGUAUAUAAUUAAUUACAUAUAAAUGUAUACAAUUAUCAAGGCAAACUAAUUCAACUAUCAUAGAAAAAGAAUGAAAAAAUUCAAUUACAUAUAUCAAAAGCUAUCUUAAGGCCUUUAGUUAUCAACACCAAUUAACAAUUUAAAACAUUCAAAAAGCAUUCGUUAUGAAAUUCAAUAUCAAGUUCAUUUCACAUAAAAAUCUAUUUAACAAAUCGCCCGAACCUCUUUGUGGAGUCUAUUGACUCAUUCAUAUUCAUUUCAAUAUUAUAUUCUAUUAUUAAUCUAUUUAUUUCAAUUUCAAAUAUAAUGUUACGCCUGAUGGAACCUUAGUAAAACGGACUCAAAUACACGGGGUAAACUACAUCACACCAGAUAGCUCAUAGGAGCUUAAACUACAACACACCAGGGCACCAAAGUGCAAAGUCUGAAAGCAUCAAAUGCAUAUUCAUAUGCUAAUACACCCUCCACCACACCAUAUUAUACUCUAUGAUCCACAAAAAAUGCUAGAUCCCGGUAUAACCUGUCAUGGCAUCCGUACAAACACAUAUCCCAUACAAGCGCGCAUAAAAAUCUAUUGGCAUGUCAAUCGUAUAUUAACCUUUUACUAAGUUUACACGAGCCUCAAUUAUAUAUGUAAGUAUUUUUCAUACAUGUAAUCAUCUUACUCUCAUAUUCAUAGAUUGUAUUCGAUCACAUAUGUAUUUUUGUACCCUAUACACUGUUCUAUCGCAUAACAAUUAUUUUGCAAUUUAGUACAUAUAUCAUUUCUCGGCCGAAUUCACAAUCACAACCCCAUUUCAACAUCAAACACACAUAUUUCAUAUUAUAAGAUAUAUUUCAAUAUAGUUUUCAUAUCACAUAUCAUAAUUUGAGUAUCUCAUAUCAUUUCUCAUUUAUUCAUUUUAGUCUUCUAUAUUGAUGUUCUAUAUCAAAUUCAAUCGAAAAAUUCCAUAUUAUCAUAAUAGACACACCUCAAUGAUUCAACAAUCAAUAAACAUGCAUAUAAAAUCAAGCAAUUCUAUCCCGAAUGAUAAAAGUACAACCCAAAGUUUCAAAUGUCACUUGUCGACAAUUUUCGCUUUUCCUUUCCCUUUCGACUAUUCGAUGUUGUCAUUAGCUACGGAUAAUCAUAAAACAUAUCAUACAAUCAAUUUCCAGCCAAAUCAGAAUCAAAUACGAAAUCACAAAGACUUUGCAAUUUAUUUAAUUUAACCCUAAAAAUUAGGACGAGCAUAACUUUCAAUUUAGGGCUUUGGUUAAAAUUUGAUUUCACCUAAACUCAUCAGAGACCUUCUAUUUUCUAUUCCUACCAAAAAUUCAUGACAAUUUUUCAUUUUAUCCAAUUUGGUCCAUAAUGUACGAAACUAACAAUUAAGCUUUACAAUUUAGUCCUUUUUAUAAACUAAGGGUCUGUUUGAUUGCCAGUAAAAUAUUUUCCGUAAAAUGAUUUCUGGAAAAUGUUUUACUUUUCUGUAAAAUGAUUUACUGAAAAAUAUUUUCUGGUAUUUGAUUGAAUCUGUGUAAAAUAUUUUCUGCUGCUUGGCAGAUUUUUUGAAAAUAUUUUUCGGAAAAGUUGUUUUUACAUAUAUUAAUAUAUAUUAAUAAAUUUUUAUAUUAUACAUUAUUUUUACAUAUAUUGCAAUGAUUUAUUUAUAAUAAUACUCAAUUAUUAAGCUACAAUAUUAAUCGUUAUAAAUUGAAAAAAAACUAAUAUCAAAUAAAUUAUUUGUAAUUGUGUUAAAAAAACAAGUAUUGAAUAAUUAAAAAAACAAGUUACUGGAAAAUCGAUAAACAGAAGCAGUUUUCUACAGGAAAUGAAGGAAGGAAUGAAGGAGGCGAUAGAGAGGAGAGCACGGAAAAUGUCUUACGGAAAUUGAAAGGGUAAGACAUUUUCCCUAAAAUGUAACCCAUUUUCCCUUGUUUUGGAGUUCAUUUUCCAAAUUGAUACAUGAGCUAGCUAAAUCAAGCUCCCAUUACCUUAAAUCUACAAAAAAUUACAAGAAAAGGGCUUGAUUGCAUACCAAUAUGUAGCCGAAAGCUUGAAGAAACUUAAAGUUUUCUUCUUCUUCUUUCUUUGGUUUUGAUGGUGGAAGAAGUUGAAUUAAUGUUCAUCUUUCCUUCCACCAAGCUAUAUGUUUAAUUAUAAUAAUUUUAAUUACUAAUCGUAUUUAAUGAGAAACCAAUACCACAGUCUACUAAUACUUGGUUAAGAAUGGUUUAUUAAUCAUUUUGGCCUCUUUGGAUAAUUGUAAUUUAAGUCUUUAAGCCUUUUUCUAAUUAAAAAUAGAUUACGAUUGGACUUUUCCAAUUUAGUCACUAGGCCUUAAUUAACCAUAAUUUCGGCUAAAUUGACUAUCCAAAUUUCAAUUCAUCUAUCGGGUUGUUACAAUCGUCUUUCGAUCUAGUUCAAUAGAGAAGAGGAAGUCAAAGGGCAUUUUUGAUGAAAGUCGCCUUUCGAUCUAAUUCAAUUGAUAGAAAGGAGACUAAACUUGUUUUUUGAGGGCCCUUGAGGUGGGAUCAUCCUUCCAUCUAUGAUCAAGUCUAGAUGACCCUUGGAGAGAUCUAAUUUGAUUCCACUCACAAAGGAGAUAGAACCUAUUUUCAAAAUCAAGUCUCGUCAACCCUUGAAACAGACUCAACCAUCUAAGUUCAAGUCUCAAAGACCCUUGGAUUGAAACUCUCUCCAAAUCUAUUUUCAAAAUUAAGUUUCGAUGAAUCUUGAAACAUACAUCAUUAAUUCAAGAUCAAAUCUUAAAAAACACUUGAAUCCAAUCAGAUCAAAUUCUCAAGCAAGCACUCUCCAAAUCAAGUCUCAACUAUCCUUGAAGCAACUAGUAUCCUUUUAAUAUCAAGUGUAAAUGAACUUGGGUCAAAGCUCAACCAAAGAGAAAAAUCAAAUGAGUUUUCUUUGUAAUUGGAAAAUCCAAAAAUUAUAUUUCUUUUCAAAGUUUAUAAAUAAAAUUUAACCCCGAGUUUUGUCUGUACAAUUAGUAUAGAUUGCAAACUCAUACUUUCAAAAUAAAUGUUUGUAUUUAAUAUGCUAGGAGUUCCUAAAUUUAAAAUUUAGUGCUAUUUUGAAAAAGUAAAUUCUGUGCUUUUUUUUUUCAGUUUAAAAAUCUUGGGCAUGUUAACUUCCAUCCAAUUUUGGCCUUAGUUGUUCGCAUAUUGUAAAAAGUGGCAAAAUAAUCUUUUUAGUUCUCAACAUUUACAAUUUUUGUCAAUUUAACCUUUUACUUUUUAAAAUAUAUUAAAAAAUUCUAUUUUUUUAAUCUUUUUAAUAAAAAUUGUAAUGUUUUUUUAAGAUACAAAACUAUUAAAAAAUCUUUAAAAUUCAUAAAUUGAGAAUAAAAAAUCAUUUUAAAAAUUAUUAAAAAUAUAAAAAAAUUUUAAAAAAAAGUAUUUACUCCUUAAAUGUAUUUGUUUGAUCGUAUUAAAUAAGAUUUGAACAAGUAUUUCCUAAUUUAAAUUUAAAUACACCAUAUAUAUUUUUUCCCGUUUAAGAUACAGUAUAUAAAAUUUUAAGAUAUAAUUAUAAUAUAUAAAUUUUGUAUAAAUAAAAAUUAAAAAAAAAAGAUGGUGCAGUUUUGGUGAUGCAUUUUCAAAAGGCAUGGCUAGAAGUAGUGAAUCACAUAAGUUUGUUUCAUUCUAAAUUUCAAAUAAAAAGACAAAAUUUAAAAAUUUUAAAAAGUAGAGGGGUGUUUUUAUACAUUAAUUGAAAUAUAAAAAAAGUAGAGAAAAUUUAGAGAUCAUAGAUCCGUGUUUGUUUUGAAAACAAAAGCUCUAACCUUGGAAGUGUCUGGAAUACUUGCACACCUGUAAUUCACCCCUUCAUUUCUUUGUGGCUAAGUAAAAUCCUUUCCCGUCCGUCAGUCAUCCAACUAUCAGUCUCAAAUCAUUCUUUUACAUCUCUACUCUCUAUUUAUCUAUAUAACACCAAAUCCCCCUCUCUAUAGCAUCUAAAUCCUGCCAAUUAAUGGAGUUCCGUAGGCACCCGCCCUCCCCACCGCCCCCAGACCCUUUUGCACCACCCCCACCACCCCCACCACGACAAGAUCCUUUUGCACCACCACCACCCCCCUUAUAUGGUGCACCCCCACCACCUCCGCCUUACUAUGCUGCACCUCCUCCUCCCGCACCCCCUCAUCACCACCAUCCACCAGGUCCACCGCCACCGCCUCAUGCUUUUUCACCACCUCCUGGACCUCCUCCACCACCUUAUUUUGAUCCAUAUAGGCCACCACCGCCUUGGAAUCGCCCUCCUCCACCAUACUAGCUAGCUAUAAAUAAUUGCCUUGGGAGUUUUAUAUUUCAGCAGUCUACAAGCUUUAUCUCCCCAUGGCGCAAUUAGAGGUUAUGUAGAUUUCUUUACCCUUCUUCCUUUUCCCCGCUC